rnacentral:rRNA from 1 species
GACGAACGCUGGCGGCGUGCCUAACACAUGCAAGUCGAACGGAACUUCUUUAAAGGAUUUCUUCGGAAUGAAUUUGAUUAAGUUUAGUGGCGGACGGGUGAGUAACGCGUGAGUAACCUGCCUCUAAGAGGGGAAUAACAUUCUGAAAAGAAUGCUAAUACCGCAUAAUAUAUAUUUAUCGCAUGGUAGAUAUAUCAAAGAUUUAUCGCUUAGAGAUGGACUCGCGUCCGAUUAGUUAGUUGGUGAGGUAACGGCUCACCAAGACCGCGAUCGGUAGCCGGACUGAGAGGUUGAACGGCCACAUUGGGACUGAGACACGGCCCAGACUCCUACGGGAGGCAGCAGUGGGGGAUAUUGCGCAAUGGGGGAAACCCUGACGCAGCAACGCCGCGUGAAGGAUGAAGGUCUUCGGAUUGUAAACUCCUGUUGUUGGGGAAGA